UUAAAAAUAAAUUGAUAAAAAAUUAUUAUUUAUCAAACAAGUUUGAACUCAACUGACACACAGAGUUUCACCUCUCAUGUGAAAAACACGGUGAUUCUUCAAUGAUCGAACGGCUCAUGCAUCCUCAUUGUGAUCAGGGGAUAAAAGUAUGGCAAAGAGAUCGUAACAGAGCUUCGGUACAGCCAUGCUCUGAGUUUUCGAAGUCCCACAUUGCUCAAGGGAAAGGAAGACAGAAAGCGGGUGAGCUAUAAAAUGGAAGUUGAGGUAAUGAAUAAAGCAUACCUUUCUCGGCCUUUUGGCUAAGAUCAAGUGUAGUAUCUGUUCUUAUCAGUUUAAUAUCUGAUACGUGAGCCAUUGGCUCACAUGAUAUUAAAUUUAUUUUUUUAGGGGGAGUGCCUGUUAAGGUUAGCUUGCUAUCGGGGCUCUCGAGCGUCGCCCAUGCGUUGCACUACUGCAAGGGCCUGGCGCACCCCACCAAAUUAGGUUUAAAGUUUAUGUUCGAAAUUUCAAUUUGGACAGUUGAAAGAUAUGUGUAUUGAUGUCUAAUUGGUGAAACAACCAUUUGGUGAUUGGCCGCCAAAUGGUUGCAGUGAUAGUGAGGGGUUUGUGAGUGAUGAGGAGUUUGAGACUUCCGCAGAGAGGGCUUCUGUGGUUGUGACCCAGCCUGAUAAGGAAUUAAAGGAAAGUUGUGUUACCGAUAAACAUCUAUUCUUUUAGGUUGGGGGCUGACCUUGAUGAAGAAUUGUCUCAACAAUCCAUAGUAGAGGAUGAAUAUGAUGGCUCUGUAGUUGAUUUAGCUGUGGUGAAUAAUCCAAGGGUGCAAACUUUUGCCCUUUGGACUAUCGAUAAUGAUUUUCGUGAGGAGCUGGUUGGUGGAGAUGAGGAGAGCGAGAUGUUGUCUUUUCAUAUGUUAGCUACGGUUCCUGAUAGUGGGAAUCUUGAGAGAGUUGACAGUGCACUUAGAAUGAAGUUAAUGGAUAUAGAAGAAGGGGAAAGAGGAGCCUUUUUCUGAGCCACUGAUCCCUGUGAUGUUUGUUGACGCUUCAGAUUUGGGUAAAUUUAUUGGAGUAGAGGAUGUGGGUUUGAGUACUUUUGGAGAAGCAAGUUUGGUGGAGGAUUCUUUUGAUAAAUUAAGGAUGUGAAUUUGAGUACUUUUGGAGUAGCAGGUUUGGUGGAGGAUUCUGUUGAUAAAUUGAGGAUGCAGAUUUGAGUACUGCUAGAGAGGCAAGUUUAGUGGAGGAUUCUGUUGAUAAACUAGUGACAGAUGAAUCAAUUGAACAUAAAGAUCAAAGUGAUACAAAGGAGACUCACUUUGAGUCCUUUCUGGAAGGUAAAGAACUUUUAAAAGUAGUUUUAAGCAAGGGCCAGUACUUGAAGUUGCAAGGAAAAAUCAAACCAGUACUAGGAAGUGGAAGUCCUUUUGAUCAAUGUGGUGACAAAGAAAACCUGGAAAGAUCUAGCCAGUAUUUGAUAUGGGAUACAUUGGUAUGAUCCAUUGGCAGCCAUCUCAGUGGUACCCAAAGAUGGUCUUAUUUGAAGGGAGGGAAGUUCAGGAUGUGGACUAUAAUGUUUCAGAACUACAUUCUAGCUCUACUAGACGGUAAUUUGCCUCAGACAAAUGAAGGUGAUAGAGUCAAAGUUAAAUGGUUCCGGCUCCUUUGAAUAUGUAAAACAAAUUUCCACUUUAGACCAUGAAGUAAAACCAGAAGUGGAAGAUGAUGUUCAAAGAUGAGGAAGAGAAAAGAGAAUACUUUCUUAUCAAGAAGUUGAAGAAUUAAUUUUCAGAAGUUCAGCAGAGGAUUUUCAAGAUCAGUCACAGAGAGUUGAUGGACAGAUCCUCCUGGACUCGGAUGAAGUGGACAUUGAUAGGAAUGGUAAAGACAGUGAAUUAUAUGAUUUUGCUGCAUUGGCUGCCGUCUUGAAAGUCACAACUACUCCUGAGUCAGAUCAUGGCGGCCCUACAUUCUCCCCUGCUUCCAGAGUAUUCACUCCUGAAAAUCCCUUUGGCUCAGGUUCCUCAGCUGCACCAUCAAAUGUCAGAAAUAAUGAAUCAAAGGAUGACUUCGGUGAUGAAGAAAGGAAGAGGAUUGAGAUGGUACAACUCUUGAGAGUGAAAUUCUUGAGACUUGUUCAGAAAGUAGGCCAUUCUCCAGAGAAUUCCCUUUUUGCACAAGUUUCAUACAAACUGGCUCUAGCUUUGGGGAGGCGUUCCAAUGAUGGCAAUGAAGUAUUUAGCCUUGAAUCAGCCAAGAGGGUUGCUGUGCAGUGCGAAGCAGAACGUGAUGUUGAUUUAGACUUCUCUUUGAACAUUUUGGUGCUUGGGAAAACCGGACUGGGGAAGAGUGCAAUCAUUAAUCCUAUUUGUGGCUAAGAGAAACUAGUGUUGAUGCAUUUGAACCUGGAACUACCCCUGUGAAACUUAUUGAUGGAAUGCUAGAUGGAGUUAAGAUGAAAAUCCUUGGCACUCUGAGCCUCAGAUCUCCUAUGACAGAACAAGUUAUCAACAUGAGAAUAUUAGCAUCUAUAAAGAAGUUUAUGAAGGAGUUCCCUCCAGACGUUGUCCUUUAUGUUGACUGAUUAGACACCCAUAUUAGAGAUUCUAGUAAUUUUCCAUUGUUAAGGUUAAUUACUAGCUUUCUUGGUUCAUCAAUAUAGAAAAAUGCUAUUGACUGUUGCUUCUGAUUCCCCCAGAGGGGCCAUCUGGGGCUCCGCUUGGCCUGAGGUUUUUGGUGCUUAGAUAUUCCAUGCAACCAUGGAGAUAUCAGCCUAGCAGAUGGUAGUCUGCUUCUGAUGAACCAAGUUUUGUUCUCAUCCAAAACCCCCCACUGAUCAUGGUGGUGAUGAAAUUGACUUGGAUAAUGAAUUGAGUGAUUUAUCAGAUUCUUAACUGGAAGUCAAGGAUGAAUACUUCCAGCUUGCACCUUUCAAGCCUUUGAGAAGUCUCAGGUUGUUAAGCUGCACAAGGAGCAAAACAAGUCCCCCUCUGAGGAGUAUGAUUAUCAGGUCAAGCUCUUCCAGAAGAAACAGUCCGUUAUUUACUGGUUGGCGAGGAGCUGUGCUUGUUUGUGAGCUAGAUGCUUAAUCGAACUAUAAACUGAACUAGUGACGAGCAGGUAGGAGAGUGACCAGGCCUGACAUUGCUAGCGAGGUUCCUGGUGCAUUCAGUCUUCAGUUAACUAAGUAUAAUUGGAACUUUGUUGUCCAAUUAGAAUCUUCAGUGCAGCAAAGCAUGGGGACAGAGGAUCAACCAUAGCAAAAUUUUACACACAAACCUUCAGAAAGCAGCAGGCUGCUUACCGCUCUCAGAGGCGAAACAAAAUUCAAAACCUUCAACAAAAACAAAACAUCUGCUAUAUUAUCAGUUAAUUCGGUGAGAACUGAACUUAAGAUUGAGGAUAUGAUUGUUUUUGGAAGGGGCUUGGCAUUGGUAGAUGAUACAGCGAAUGGAGACAACCUGGAACAGCCCAGGAUAAAGCUUUUCCUGUAGAAUAGGAUGAUUUCAGUUUAAGCCUGUGGCUUAUGAAUUGGAGAGGUGAUUUAAUUAUGGUGGCCAACCUACAGUCUCGGUCGUAUUGAAUUCUAAAUGGCAAUAUGUUAUGGAUUGAACGACCCGCAAAAUGAGCAAAAAUUGUAAAAUUUAGCAGCUCAGAGCAGCUACAAUGACACUCAUUAGCAUUCUUCCAUUAGCAAUAUCCGUCUUCUGGUAUAAUUUUCCUGGAUCUUAUUGAAAAAACUGUACAUUCUGGCUGCUGUUAGUAGUCUUAUUUCUCAUGUUCAACUUUGUUCCAUCUGCAAAGCGCUGAAGUUAUUCUAAUGGGUCUGAAAUGUGUGUUGUAACAUUAAUGAGAUGAACCUCAGUUUAUACUGUUAAAUUUUUACAAUUUGUUUAUAUGUAUA